rnacentral:rRNA from 1 species
GACGUAGGGUGCGAGCGUUGUCCGGAUUUAUUGGGCGUAAAGAGCUCGUAGGCGGCCUGUUGCGUCUGCUGUGAAAGCCCGGGGCUUAACCCCGGGUCUGCAGUGGAUACGGGCAGGCUAGAGUUCGGCAGGGGAGACUGGAAUUCCUGGUGUAGCGGUGAAAUGCGCAGAUAUCAGGAGGAACACCGGUGGCGAAGGCGGGUCUCUGGGCCGAUACUGACGCUGAGGAGCGAAAGCGUGGGGAGCGAACAGG